GAUAACAAUUACUCUCUUCUCGCAUACAGCAUCAGUGAUUCCAUCCUGGAAGGAAAAUAAUGGAAUCUAAAGCAAAAAAAGGAAAAAUCAAUGACUAUCUCAUACAAGUCUGCACUUCAAAACAACCUUAGGGCCCAUCCAACAAACUAGACUGCAUUUUUCUUGUUUCUGAAGUUGUCUUUUAGCAAAGCAAAUUUUUUCUUGCACUGAUUAACAGUCUUCCCAGGAACAGCAGCUGCAACUCGCUCCCAACGUUGACUGGUUUCCCUUGGGAAGGUUUUCAGAGCCUGAACUAGUGCUCUUUCCUGUACAGCAGACCAUGCAUCUUGCUCUGAGCUCAAAGAAACCCCAUUUUCAGCAACCCCUUCAUCAGGUUUCUUGUUAUUCUCAGAUAUACUCGAAGAUUCCUCUGAAUUAUCCAUCUUUGCCGCACUGCUUUCAGGCCCUUGUUUAGUUGCAGAUCCUUCCAUUUCCUCUCUAGUUGUAAGUGGAGAUGCAAUGGAUUGCGCAGGCUUCCUCUUCUCAAGAAAGGAAUCAAAAGCUUUAGCAGUGUCAGGCUUCUGAAGGAGGACAGUUUUUGUUGCCUUCAGAAU
rnacentral:misc_RNA from 1 species